rnacentral:rRNA from 2 species
AGAGCUCGUAGGCGGUUUGUCGCGUCUGCUGUGAAAUCCCGAGGCUCAACCUCGGGCUUGCAGUGGGUACGGGCAGACUAGAGUGCGGUAGGGGAGAUUGGAAUUCCUGGUGUAGCGGUGGAAUGCGCAGAUAUCAGGAGGAACACCGAUGGCGAAGGCAGAUCUCUGGGCCGUAACUGACGCUGAGGAGCGAAAGCAUGGGGAGCGAACAGGAUUAGAUACCCUGGUAGUCCAUGCCGUAAACGUUGGGCGCUAGAUGUAGGGACCUUUCCACGGUUUCUGUGUCGUAGCUAACGCAUUAAGCGCCCCGCCUGGGGAGUACGGCCGCAAGGCUAAAACUCAAAGGAAUUGACGGGGGCCCGCACAAGCGGCGGAGCAUGCGGAUUAAUUCGAUGCAACGCGAAGAACCUUACCAAGGCUUGACAUACACCGGAAACGGCCAGAGAUGGUCGCCCCCUUGUGGUCGGUGUACAGGUGGUGCAUGGUUGUCGUCAGCUCGUGUCGUGAGAUGUUGGGUUAAGUCCCGCAACGAGCGCAACCCUCGUUCUAUGUUGCCAGCGGGUUAUGCCGGGGACUCAUAGGAGACUGCCGGGGUCAACUCGGAGGAAGGUGGGGAUGACGUCAAAUCAUCAUGCCCCUUAUGUCUUGGGCUUCACGCAUGCUACAAUGGCCGGUACAAAGGGCUGCGAUACCGUAAGGUGGAGCGAAUCCCAAAAAGCCGGUCUCAGUUCGGAUUGAGGUCUGCAACUCGACCUCAUGAAGUCGGAGUCGCUAGUAAUCGCAGAUCAGCAACGCUGCGGUGAAUACGUUCCCGGGCCUUGUACACACCGCCCGUCAAGUCAUGAAAGUCGGUAACACCCGAAGCCGGUGGCCUAACCCUUGUGGAAGGAGCCGUCGAAGUGGGAUCGGUGAUUAGGACGAAGUCG